ACCUUCUGUGGUGUAGUUGGUAUCACCUUGGCACAGUAAGUAUGUGUCCUAGGUUCAAUUCCUAGUCAGGGCA